rnacentral:rRNA from 1 species
AGUGAACGCUGGCGGUAGGCCUAACACAUGCAAGUCGAACGGCAGCACAGUAAGAGCUUGCUCUUACGGGUGGCGAGUGGCGGACGGGUGAGGAAUACAUCGGAAUCUACUUUUUCGUGGGGGAUAACGUAGGGAAACUUACGCUAAUACCGCAUACGACCUACGGGUGAAAGCAGGGGAUCUUCGGACCUUGCGAGAAUGAAUGGGCCGAUGUCGGAUUAGCUAGUUGGAGGGGUAAAGGCCCACCAAGGCGACGAUCCGUAGCUGGGCUGGGAGGAUGAUCAGCCACACUGGAACUGAGACACGGUCCAGACUCCUACGGGAGGCAGCAGUGGGGAAUAUUGGACAAUGGGAGCAAGCCUGAUCCAGCCAUGCCGCGUGGGUGAAGAAGACCUUCUGGUUGUAAAUCCCUUUUGUUGGGAAAGAAAAGCAGCAGGUUAAUACCCCGCUGUUCUGACGGUACCCAAAGAAUAAGCACCGGCUAACUUCGUG